GCAAAAUUAAGGCAUUCUACGAACAUAAACACUUUAAAAUUACUGUACUAUGCAUUAAUAUAUCCUUACCUUACAUAUGGAAAUUUAUCUUGGGGUUGCACAUACCCAACUACAAUUCUAAGGGCCUGUUUAUAUGAUCCCGCCUAGACGGGACGGGACGUUUUCAUCCCACCUAGACGGGAUACUCGCCUAGUGUUUAUAUGGACAAAAUACAUUGCCGGGAUGAAGCCAUUUAAGUGCUUGACGUCAUAUUUUUGUUGCAAUAAAGGCAUUUACGCAUGCUCAAAAGGGAAAAAUUCAUCCCGCCUAGCCAGGAUGAAGUGUUUAUAUGGGAAUUUUUCGUCCCGGCUAGGCGGGAUGAAGUGUUUAUAUGGGAAUUUUUCAUCUCGCUCAGGCGGGAUCCCGGCAUCUGUUGCCGAGAUCCCGUCUAGGCGGGAUAAGUGGCGGGAUCAUAUAAACACUCUUCAGAAUUUGCAUUACGAGCGGGAUCUCGGUAAGCAUCCCAUCCCGCCUGGCCGGGAUCAUAUAAACAGGCCCUAUAAGUUUAUACAAAUUACAAAAGAAGUUAGUUCGAAUUAUGAUGUUUAAAUC